rnacentral:rRNA from 1 species
GCCUGAUCCAGCGUUGCCGCGUGAGUGAAGAAGGCCUUCGGGUUGUAAAGCUCUUUUGUCAGGGAAGAAANGGUGUAGGUUAAUAUCUUUNGCUANUGACGGUACCGGAAGAAUAAGCACCGGCUAACUNCGUGCCAGCAGCCGCGGUAAUACGUAGGGUGCAAGCGUUAAUCGGAAUUACUGGGCGUAAAGCGCGCGCAGGCGGUUUUUUAAGUUUGAUGUGAAAUCCCCGGGCUCAACCUGGGAACUGCAUUGGAGACUGGCAGGCUAGAGUCUGGUAGAGGGGGGUGGAAUUCCANGUGUAGCAGUGAAAUGCGUAGAGAUGNGGAGGAACACCGAUGGCGAAGGCAGCCCCCUGGAUCAAGACUGACGCUCAGGUGCGAAAGCGUGGGGAGCAAACAGGAU